AAGAGCACUCAUUGCACUGACAAGAACCCCCAUUGGAUGAGCAUCAUGUGGCAUUGACUGUAUGAUAUCCAAGAGUCCUUGUGGAACUGCUGAAUGCUGUGAAACUGUGAACUCCCAGUCUGCUAACUGAUUCUCAGAUGGUAAAUUACCAUACAACAAAAGAUAUGCCACUUCCAAGAAGGAACUUCCCUCGGCCAGCUCUUCAAUAGGGUAGCCUCGAUAUCUAAGGAUCCCGGCAUCACCAUCAAUAUAACAUAUUGAUGACCUAACAGGUGCCGUGUUGAGAUAGCCUGGAUCAUAAAGCUUAAGACCCUUAUCAUUCUGUCCUGUUGUUAUCUUCUUCAAGUCGUUGGCUUUGAUAGUGCCAUCCUCAGAAACCUGAACCGGAUACUUCUUACCGGUCCGUUCAUCGAUGAUCGUCAACGCACCUUUUAGAUUCCGCGGAGGUUCGACGCCGGAAACGGAAGAUACACCGGAAGUUUCUAGAAGUUUAAAGGUUGUUAAAUCGGAAACGUUGAGUGAUGCUGCGAGAUGAGCUGAAAGCACCGCUAAUCUCCCUCGAGCAACUGAUGAAGAAUUUCCGUUCUCCAUGAAAAUGCUUUUUCUUAGAAUUUUCAAUUUUUUUUCUAUGUUUGAUUUUAGAAAAUAGAAAUGAA
rnacentral:misc_RNA from 1 species